CCGCCCGGCUAGCCGCCCCAUCCGGGAGGGAGGUGGGGGGGUCAGCCCCCCGCCCGGCCAGCUGCCCCGUCCGGGAGGGAGGUGGGGGGGUCAGCCCCCAGCCCGGCCAGCCGCCCUGUCCGGGAGGUGAGGGGCGCCUCUGCCCAGCUGCCCCUACUGGGAAGUGAGGAGCCCCUCUGCCCAGCCAGCCGCCCCGUCCGGGAGGGAGGUGGGGGGGUCAGCCCCCCGCCUGGCCAGCCGCCCCGUCCGGGAGGUGAGGGGCGCCUCUGCCCGGCCACCCCUACUGGGAAGUGAGGAGCCCCUCUGCCCAGCCACCACCUCGUCUGGGAGGUGUACCCAACAGCUCAUUGAGAACGGGCCGGGAUGACAAUGGCGGUUUUGUGGAAUAGAAAGGGGGGAAAGGUGGGGAAAAGAUUGAGAAAUCGGAUGGUUGCCGUGUCUGUGUAGAAAGAAGUAGACAUGGGAGACUUUUCAUUUUGUUCUGUACUAAGAUAAAUUCUUCUGCCUUGGGAUCCUGUUGAUCUGUGACCUUACCCCCAACCCUGUGCUCUCUGAAACAUGUGCUGUGUCCACUCAGGGUUAAAUGGAUUAAGGGCGGUGCAAGAUGUGCUUUGUUAAACAGAUGCUUGAAGGCAGCAUGCUCGUUAAGAAUCAUCACCACUCCCUAAUCUCAAGUACCCAGGGACACAAACACUGCGGAAGGCCGCAGGGUCCUCUGCCUAGGAAAACCAGAGACCUUUGUUCACUUGUUUAUCUGCCAACCUUCCCUCCACUAUUGUCCUAUGACCCUGCCAAAUCCCCCUCUGCGAGAAACACCCAAGAAUGAUCAAUAAAAAAAAUAAAAAUUAAAAAAAAAAAAAAAAAA
rnacentral:lncRNA from 1 species